rnacentral:rRNA from 1 species
GACGAACGCUGGCGGCGUGCCUAAUACAUGCAAGUCGAACGCUUCUUUCCUCCCGAGUGCUUGCCCUCAAUUGGAAAGCGGACGGGCGGGUGGUUGAUUAACACCUUGCUAACCUACCCAUCAGAGGGGUAUAACACUUGGGAACAUAUGCUAAUACCGCAUAACAGUUUAUGCCGCAUGGCAUAAGAGUGAACUGCGCUUUCAGGUUUCGUUUAUGGAUGGACCCGCGGUCCAUUAGCUAGUUGGUGAGGUAACGGCUCACCAAGGCCACGAUUCAUAGCCGAUCUGAGAGGGUGAUCGGCCACACUGGGACUGAGACACGGCCCAGACUCCUACGGGAGGCAGCAGUAGGGAAUCUUCGGCAAUGGACGAAAGUCUGACCGAGCAACGCCGCGUGAGUGAAGAAGGUUUUCGGAUCGUAAAACUCUGUUGUUAGAGAAGAACAAGGACGUUAGUAACUGAACGUCGGCUGACGGUAUCUAGCAAGAAAGCCAGGGCUGACUACGUG